rnacentral:misc_RNA from 1 species
GAUGAAGAACGCAGCGAAAUGCGAUACGUAGUGUGAAUUGCAGAAUUCAGUGAAUCAUCGAAUCUUUGAACGCACAUUGCACCUCUCGGUAUUCCGGGAGGUAUGCCUGUUCGAGCGUCAUUUGUACCCUCAAGCUCUGCUUGGUGUUGGGUGACUGUCCGCUUCACGGCGGACUCGCCUCAAAAUUAUUGGCGGCCGGUACAUUGGCUUCGAGCGCAGCAGAAACGCGAACUCGGGCCCGUCGUAUUGGCUCCCAGAAGCUAUCUUCACAAUUUUGACCUCGGAUCAGGUAGGGAUACCCGCUGAACUUAAGCAUAUCAAUAAGCGGAGGA